UGCAAUAAGUUUCAUUGUCAGCAUGUCCCAUCAUGUGCCUACGUGCCUCCCCCCUUAUCCUGUAGUCUCUGAAGGAUUUUGAACUAUGAAUUAUUCUUCUGAUAGAAAAGCUCAUUGCCCCAAGUAAAUGCACGAAUAUAGUCAUUCAAUUAGAGUUGCUGAUUAUUCUGUUGAGUCAAAUAACAGGCGCGUGUUUUUUUCUAGCAAGUAUGAGUGCAGCUUUACAACAGGACUUACAUCGGCACUGACUGAUUAUUUCUGUUUGGCUUAUAAAAUUUUCUCAACAGGGAAGGAUAUGUAUCAAUUAAAACUACAGAA